rnacentral:rRNA from 1 species
UGGGGAAUUUUGGACAAUGGGGGAAACCCUGAUCCAGCCAUCCCGCGUGUGCGAUGAAGGCCUUUGGGUUGUAAAGCACUUUUGGCAGGAAAGAAACGUCAUGGGUUAAUACCCCGUGAAACUGACGGUACCUGCAGAAUAAGCACCGGCUAACUACGUGCCAGCAGCCGCGGUAAUACGAAGGGUGCAAGCGUUAAUCGGAAUUACUGGGCGUAAAGCGUGCGCAGGCGGUUCGGAAAGAAAGAUGUGAAAUCCCAGAGCUCAACUUUGGAACUGCAUUUUUAACUACCGGGCUAGAGUGUGUCAGAGGGAGGUGGAAUUCCGCGUGUAGCAGUGAAAUGCGUAGAUAUGCGGAGGAACACCGAUGGCGAAGGCAGCCUCCUGGGAUAACACUGACGCUCAUGCACGAAAGCGUGGGGAGCAAACAGG